rnacentral:tRNA from 1 species
GCUGAAGUAGCUCAGCUGGGAGAGCGUUAGACUGAAGAGCUAAAGGUCCCUGGUUCAAUCCCGGGCUUCAGCA